rnacentral:rRNA from 1 species
GAUGAACGCUGGCGGCGUGCCUAAUACAUGCAAGUCGAGCGAACAGAUAAGGAGCUUGCUCCUUUGAAGUUAGCGGCGGACGGGUGAGUAACACGUGGGUAACCUACCUAUAAGACUGGGAUAACUUCGGGAAACCGGAGCUAAUACCGGAUAACAUUUAGAACCGCAUGGCUCUAAAGUGAAAGAUGGUUUUGCUAUCACUUAUAGAUGGACCCGCGCCGUAUUAGCUAGUUGGUAAGGUAACGGCUUACCAAGGCGACGAUACGUAGCCGACCUGAGAGGGUGAUCGGCCACACUGGAACUGAGACACGGUCCAGACUCCUACGGGAGGCAGCAGUAGGGAAUCUUCCGCAAUGGGCGAAAGCCUGACGGAGCAACGCCGCGUGAGUGAUGAAGGGUUUCGGCUCGUAAAACUCUGUUAUUAGGGAAGAACAAAUGUGUAAGUAACUGUGCACAUCUUGACGGUACCUAAUCAGAAAGCCACGGCUAACUACGUGCCAGCAGCCGCGGUAAUACGUAGGUGGCAAGCGUUAUCCG